UAUAACACCAUUACUCACUGAAACAAUCUCCUUGUAAAACAUGUUUAAAUCGCUUGCAUGAUGUAGCGGUUGGCACCAUAGGGUGUCGCUGUGUCGGUGGGGGCUGUUCCUCUAUAAAAGGGGAAGUGGCACUGUAGUAGGGAGUGCCAGUUUCCUGUUGGAGUUGCCAGGACGUUGCUGGGCCACGUCAGCCUUGGUGCAAGGUGAUUUUAGCAGCAUCAGUUGCAGCAAAACCUGAACCAUAGCAGAGUAAAAGAUCUUUGACCAUCGGUAAGCAGGAUAAAGUGUGACUGCCAUCCACCCUUCAAUAUCUCCAUCCAUGCACGGGUUUCAGCAAGUGUUAUGGACUGGGCCAUUAUUUAAAAGAGAUUGGCAGAGCGUGGUCUUCCUCUACCAAGGCCUCUUCAUCCAGAAGACCCUAGGAGACUAGACCUUGUUCCUGCCAUACCACCACCCCC